rnacentral:rRNA from 1 species
UUGGAGGGCAAGUCUGGUGCCAGCAGCCGCGGUAAUUCCAGCUCCAAUAGCGUAUAUUAAAGUUGUUGCAGUUAAAAAGCUCGUAGUUGAAUUUCGGGAUCAAUUUAUUGGUCGUGCCAACGGUACGCACUGGUACAAUUGGUUUCUCCCUUCUGACGAAGCAUGAUGUCAUUAAUUUGAUGUCGUGGGGAAUCAGGACUGUUACUUUGAAAAAAUUAGAGUGUUUAAAGCAGGCUUUGGCUUGAAUACAUUAGCAUGGAAUAAUGAAAUAGGACGUUUGAUCUUAUUUCGUUGGUUUCUAAGAUCGACGUAAUGAUUAAUAGGGAUAGUUGGGGGCAUUAGUAUUCAAUUGUCAGAGGUGAAAUUCUUGGAUUUAUUGAAGACUAACUACUGCGAAAGCAUUUGCCAAGGAUGUUUUCAUUAAUCAAGAACGAAAGUUAGGGGAUCGAAGACGAUCAGAUACCGUCGUAGUCUUAACCAUAAACUAUGCCGACUAGGGAUCGGACGAUGUUAAUUUUUCUUGACUCGUUCGGCGCCUUACGGGAAAC